rnacentral:lncRNA from 1 species
UGUUUUGUUUUUGGCCCUUGAAUCUGCCGACUUUUGUAACAAAUAUUUGCGGUUUCAGCCUCAACCCAGAGGAAUCGUUACUCUUUCAGAUUUCCUUUUUUUCUGGGGAACUGUAUUUUUAAUAACAACAACAUUGGUUGCCCUUCUGAAAAAAGAAAACGAAGUAUCAGUAGUAAAAGAAGAAACACAAGGGAUCACAGAUACUUACAAGCUGCUUUUUGCAAUUAUAAAAAUGCCAGCAGUUCUGACAUUUUGCCUUCUGAUUCUAACUGCAAAGAUUGGUUUUUCAGCAGCAGAUGCUGUAACAGGACUGAAAUUGGUAGAAGAGGGAGUACCCAAAGAACAUUUAGCCUUAUUGGCAGUUCCAAUGGUUCCUUUGCAGAUAAUACUGCCUCUGAUUAUCAGCAAAUACACUGCAGGUCCCCAGCCAUUAAACACAUUUUACAAAGCCAUGCCCUACAGAUUAUUGCUUGGGUUAGAAUAUGCCCUACUGGUUUGGUGGACUCCUAAAGUAGAACAUCAAGGGGGAUUCCCUAUAUAUUACUAUAUCGUAGUCCUGCUGAGUUAUGCUUUACAUCAGGUUACAGUGUACAGCAUGUAUGUUUCUAUAAUGGCUUUCAAUGCAAAGCUUUGCAAAAAACUGGGUGGCUCAUGUGUUACAGCCCUGGAUGGUUAUUAUGUGGAGUCCAUUAUUUGUGUUUUCAUUGGAUUUGGUUGGUGGUUCUUUCUUGGUCCAAAAUUUAAAAAGUUACAGGAUGAAGGAUCAUCUUCGUGGAAAUGCAAAAGGAACAAUUAAUAUAUAUGCUACUGGACAUUCUAGCAAGGUAAUUGUAGUUUAGUUUUAAUUCGGAGAGCAAUGAUAAUCAGUGCACAGGAGUAUAAAAUAUUAUUUUAAACAGCGAAAUUAAUAAUAUAAAAUGCCAAAUGGUUGAAAAAAUAGAAACCUUUCUGUAUAUUUGAUCAUAUUUUUUUUUUGCCUUGUCAAUGUAUUUAAAGUUUACUUAAGGUCAGGAAAUUCUAAAACAACUUUUCUGGCCUUGUUAUUUGAUGUAUAUCUUUUAAAUUUACUGACCAAAGCAUGUUUUAAGCUGCAAUGCAGUAGUCACGGGUGGUAACCAUGUAGUCAGGUAUUGUUAUUAGUACCUAUCACUGCUGAGCUGUAUUUAAAAUUUUGGUACAAUAUAUAAAAUGGAGAAGAGCUUGAUAUUCAGGUACUAACCACAACUAGUCUGACAUUGUUGGCAGUUAAAAUCUUAUUUUGAAUUGUAAAUUAGUUAAAUUUUAUGUGGAAUUUGCUGAGAAAAGAAUAUAGACUACUGAAAUGUCAUUUUAGUUAUUUUUCUUAUGACCACAUUGUACAAAUGAAUCUGUGUUAAAAAGACUAUUUUAAAUGUAUUUCCUGCUUUUGUAAGCAUUAAAGAUUUAUAAGAAAAUUAUUCAAACUAUUUUUUAUAAAAUGAAAGUUAUGAUUUUUAAACUUAUUGAUUCCUCUUGCCCCUACCCCCUCUUUUUGGAAGAUAUUUUGAUUCCUUAUAAACUUUUACCCUAAGCUUAUAUAUGUUUUCUGUCACAAGUGCUUCCUGGCACACAGACAGCCAAUGGAGGGGAUCAAAUUCAGUGUUGUAUGUAUGUUUAUGGCAACAUUUUGAAAAUAAAAAUUAAAUGUUUUUCUUC